CGAGUGGAAUAAACGGUUGCGUGCGUUUUUCGAAAGGAAUACGCAUGAGGAAAGUCCGAGCACCACAGGGCAAGGAUAACGGCUAACGGCCGCCGGGGGCGACCCUAGGGAAAGUGCAACAGAGAUAUACCGCCUGCGAGGAACUCACCAAGCCGCGCGGGUAAGGCUGGAAAGGCGAGGUAAGAGCUCACCAGCAUGGAGGAAACUCCAUGGCUAUGUAAACCCUAUCCGGUGCAACAUCGUGGAGAACCGCAUUGGCUGCCCGUCAGGUUCAUGGAGAUGGCUUGAGCUGUCUGGCAACAGACAGUCGAGAUAGAUAACCGUUCGCGACAGAACUCGGCUUAUCGUUCCGCUCGUUUU
rnacentral:RNase_P_RNA from 1 species